CCCUUAGAUGUUCUGGGCCGCACGCGCGCUACACUGACUGGUGCAACAAGUGUCUGACCUUGGCUCGAGAGGCCUGGGCAACCUUUGAACGCCAGUCGUGCUGGGGAUAGAUUCUUGCAAUUAUUAAUCUUCAACGAGGAAUUCCUAGUAAACGCAAGUCAUCAGCUUGCAUUGAUUACGUCCCUGCCCUUUGUACACACCGCCCGUCGCACCUACCGAUUGAAUGACUCGGUGAAAAAUUGGGACUGUGAAAACAAUUGAUUCAGUUCAAAUGUAUUCGUGGAAACUUUUUUUAACCUCGUUAUUUAGAAGAAGGUGAANUCGUANCA
rnacentral:rRNA from 1 species